GUUUACGCACUCGGGCUUUUAAAAGUCUUCGCGGAGUCUCGAGGCUCCCAGACGCCUUCAGCGGUCCUGAAUCUUAAAGUAGUUCUGAAACGGAGAAAGAUCUUUCGGAGGCUAUUUGUUCCACGCGAGUUCGCCCGCCGAAAUCCGUUCCCAGCACGGGAGUUAGCACGGAGAAGGAUCAGUGGCUGCGCUCCCAGCUUGGGAGGGGAUCCCCGAAGAGUACCGCAGGCACUGGGGACAUUCCUCCACCCAAGCCUUCUUGAACCUAGACAGAAGGACAUCUCUGACUUUAGCUUGGCAAUCAAGAGAUCUUAAUGGAGAAUGAUCUCGAUUAGACCUUUGCUAGUGGCCCAGGACCAGUGGUAUCAACAGCAGCUGGAAGCCGGUUAGAAAUGCAGGAUCUCAGUUCUGGCUCUUGAUCUCAAACGGAAUCUGCAUUUUCACAAGAUUCCCAUACACUUUGAAGUUGGCAAAGCACCUGAUCUGGAAUACCAGGGGAGAGUGGGGUAGGCAGGCUUGCAUCUUCUCUACCCUCAGCACCAUUCCUGACAUCUGGGCUCCCUAAAUGACUGCAUCUGCACGAGAAUGAGACACUUUCUACCAGUAAAUCUCCAACACAGUCAUUUGGGAGGGAGGUUUUACUCUUAACUGUACUUUGCAAAAACUGUGGUAUGUAAAUUCCGCUCUGAGGGGAAAAGCAGACGCAUGGGGGAUCCUGAAGCCAGAACUGAGACCUAAUUUUAAGCAAACUUGUUUAUUCUCCUGUCUUCAAGGCAGCCAGAGGUUAUGGUUCUAGCAUCCUUCAUGCUGCCCCUGCUUUGCACACAGCUGUCUCAUGCUCCCGUGGCCUGCCCCUGGCCCUGGGUGAGGGCCAGCCCCCAUAACGCUGCGCCCUUCCCAGCAGCUGCAGAAGAGUCCUGAAUAAAGAGCGUGGCCAGCAGGACUUCAGGACAUGCUUCAGGAAGAGCCUGACAGCAGCUGUGCCCUCAUUCCACCUCAUUCCAGGGACACAUGGCUGAGAGGAGGGGGCAAAGGGAUGAGGAAGGAUCUCCGCAGGGGACCAAGUGCCCUGCUCUGGCCCUCCCCAGGCCUAGAGAAGACUGCAGAGGCAAGAGUACCUCCAGCGUGUCUGUAAUGGGUAGUGAAGCCAAAGUUUCUCCUCCUCUGCAGAGGCCAAGGGCUAUGCCCCAGCCACAGACCCUUGGCAUCCCCGCCCUGCUUUCCCACCAAGUGCACUUCACUCCAACUUGCAGGGGAGUGUGGCUGCAGGGCAAAGAGCAUAUGGCUGGCUGAUUCUUAGUCUGGCCUUGGCUAAGAUGUCCCAACACACAGCCUUUAAGGUUUGUGGGGAGGGGGUUGGGGGAGGUUACCAGUAGGGGACUGGUUAAAUGAAAUUAUAUAUAUCUACAGGAUAGAAGAAUGCAGCCAUAAGAAAAUCAGGGUGCUCUUCUCUUUAUGUAUUGAUGUGGAGUGAUCUCUAAGAUACACUCUUAGGUGAAAAAACAGGGUGUGGACAGUGUGUAGAGUACACUUCAUGCGUGUAAAAAAAAAGAGGGACGCCUGGGUGGCUCAGUGGUUGAGCCUCUGCAUUUAGCUCAGUGUGAUCCAGGGUCCUGGGCUCGAGUCCCGCAUCGGGCUCCCUGUGGGGAGCCUGCUUCUCCCUCUGCCUGUGUCUCUGCCUUUCUCUCUGUGUCUCAUGAAUAAAUAAAAUCUUUAAAAAAAAAAAAGGAAGGAAAGUAAGAAAAAUUAUAUGUUUUCUUGUAUAAAUAUAGAAUAAGCUUGAAGGACAUACAAGAAACGGACCACAUGGAUGGCCAGGAGGAGGCGGCUGGGUGGCAGAAAGAAGGCAGGAAAGAGGAGCUUUCACUUUGUCAACCUUUAAAAAGUUUUGAACUAUGGGACUGUUCUUACCACUCAAAAGUCAAGUCUAGAGAAAUUGAAAAUGUAUCAUAGGGUAAGUGUGGCUCCAAGGGGAGAGCAUAAGUAGGGGUUUUCAUGAUGGUGGAACAGUUCCAUAUCUUGACUGUGGUGGUGGACAGACGGAUCUACACAUGUGACAACUGCAGAGAACGAAACAUACAUGCAAACACACGGGUGUGUGUGCAAUCAGGACAAGCCCUGUGGAUUGUUCUAAUGGUGAUUUCCUGGUUUUGUUACCGUACUGACUUGUGUGAGAUGUUACCACUGGGAGAAACUGGGUGAAGAGUACAUGGCAUCUCUUUGUAUAUAUUUUUUGCAACUUCUUGUGAAUAUAUCAUUAUUUCAAAAUAAGAAGUGGGAAAAAAUGGGAUAAUGGUACAAGGGAGAGAGUGUAUCAUAUUACAGAAUGGCAAGGCUGGACAGGAUCCUACAGAUUAUCUAGUGGGGUGGUUUUGACACUUUUUCAAGCUGUGAAACCCUUCAUUUAAAAGACAUCUUCUAAGGAAGCCCAGCAUGCAAAACAGCCAAGUGGAGUUCUGUGGCAAGGCCAGUGGGGGUGGCACCCCAGGCCCACCUGCUCAGCACCCUACACCUCCUGCCUAAAAACCAACACCUUGGGUCCUUUCCUCUCAAUUUGUAAAUGUGUCACUGAGGCUCAGCGAAAUAGAGCAACUGGGGCAAAGUCACACGGCGUGUCAGUGACUUUGCUGGAACUACGGCCUGUGUUCUCCUGAGCCCCUGUCCGGUGUUUACUGGACACCUAGUCACAGAGGAAGAGGUGGUGGAAUCGGUGGCAGGCCCUCCCCACACUCC